GUUGGUGCAAAAGUAAUUGCAGUUUUUGAUGGUUACUUUUAAUGGCAAAAACCGCAAUAACUUUUGCACCAACCUAAUAU
rnacentral:miRNA from 1 species